UAGUUAGCGUUGAAAGGAUUCAGUAGUUCACUAUCCCUGUUUAUUAGAGAGCCGGUGGUUGGUGGAAAUCGGCACAAAUAGCUGAACGAAUUACCUCCUGGAGCUUUUGCUGUGAACGGAUAAGUAGCAGCAAACGGACAAACCGUUAUCGAACAAAGUGGAGAACCGUGAUUCUCAAGCUUGGGUGGUACCGCGCAAUCAGCGUCCCUGCA
rnacentral:ncRNA from 1 species